AAAUCGGGUGAGACUACCCGCUGAACUUAAGCAUAUCAAUAAGCGGAGGAAAAGAAACUAACAAGGAUUCCCCUAGUAACUGCGAGUGAAGCGGGAAAAGCUCAAAUUUAAAAUCUGGUG
rnacentral:rRNA from 1 species